GGAGAUAUUAACGUGAACAAGCCUGUGGAUAUUUACUUUAUGUAGCGAUUGAUAUUUGGUGCCACCUAUUCCCCCACAAUAGCCCAAUUUGUGAAAAAUUUAAAUGCCAAAACCUGUAUAGGUGAAUCCCCAAGAGCUGUGCAUGGGAUCAUUGACCGACACUACGUCGAUGAUUAUGUUGAUUGUUUUGAUGCAGAAGAUGAAGCAACAAAUACUUUCAACAAUGUUGUUAAAAUUUAUAAAUUGGCCGGAGUUAAUUUACACGGGAUAAAAUCCAAUUCCCAGCAUGUUUUGAAGCAGUAUGGCAAUCCCACUGAGGAUGAUGAAACAAGUGGAAAUACCUUUAUUAAUGACGGAGUGGAACGAGUACUCGGAAUUCGAUGGGCGCCAAAAACAGACGUUUUCUGUUUUGACUUAAAGAUUCCUCAACCGUAGUACGGUGGAUAAGAUCUGACCAUCGAAUGUACAAGCAGUUUGUGGCAAAUAGUGGAAAUGAUGUCCCGGUGCAGACAAUGCAGCGGAUGAUGGGACCCGCAUGAAGCUGUCAAGGCCGUAUAAUCCUGAAGGAAGGUGGAAGAAUGGACCUGAUUUUUUAAAGAGAGGUAUGGAGUAUUGGUUCGUGGACACCUUAAGAGGUAGUUCGACUGACCGAAGCGAAACCGAGCUGCGUUCCAGAUACAAAGUGAUGGUGGCAAGGCAAGUACCUUCUAUUAUAGCUAAUAUUAAACGUUUUUCCAAGUAUAAUAGAUUGCUUCGGUAUGUGAAGAACUGUCUACGGAAAGCUAGAGGACAAGAAAAUAUGACUGGUGAUCUGCCUGUUGAUGAGGUAAAUGAAAGCGAGAAGUACCUCUGUCGAAAGGUACAACAAGAAGCAUUUGUGGAUGAUUUGUCGGCGCUUACCAUAAACGGCAGAUUGUCUGACAAGAGCUAAAGACGUUGAAUCCUGUUCUUGGCACUUCGUCAACUACUUAAAAGAAUUCAAGCCAGCUGUGUGUAUUGCAACAUACUUCGGGCCAAACCUCGUCAGCCACAAAUGGCGCCAUUACCUGUGAAGCGUGUGACGCCUUAUGUCAGAGCGUUUACCUACACCGGCUUGGACUAUUUUGGCCCUAUUAAUGUUACCAUUCGGCGUCAAAAAGAAAAAGAUGGGUAGCACUUUUUACUUGCCUGACGGUAAGAGCCGUUCACCUUGAAAUUGCCACCGACCUCUCAAGCGAUGCCUGUCUGCUGUGUGUUCGAAACUUCAUUCAUCGAAGAGGUGUCCCAGUGACCAUUAGAAGCAACAAUGGGACAAAUUUCGUCGGCAUCGCCAAGGUACUGAAAACUUUAUUGACGAUAAUGAUUCUUUUAAUUCGAAGGUGACGGCUCUUGGGAUAAAGUGGAUGUUCAAUAGACCAAGCAAUUCUGGUGAAGGUGGUGUCUGGGAGAGCCUGGUCCAAUCCGUCAAGAAAGCAUUGUAUGCCAUGAUGAAGGAGCAGGCGCCUAAAUUAGAGACGUUUCGUUCCUUCCUUAUAGAAGCCGAAAAUAUGGUCAAUUCCAGGCCGUUGACCCAUCUUCCAGUUUCGCCAAAAGAUUCCGAGCCGUUGACGCCGAAUCAUUUCCUGCUUGGAUGCUCCAAUUCCAUUAACACGCCUGCACCAUUUGAGCCGAGGUUGAUGUGUUUGAGGAAGCAGUAGCGUGUUCUGCAAAACAUGAAGAAUGGUUUUUGGAACCAAUGGUUGCGAGAGUACUUGCCAGAGCUGACUCGUCGCACGAAGUGGUGCCUGCCUUCGCAACCAGUCACAGUUGGCUGCCUAGUUUUUGUGUGUGAUCCGGAUCUACCAAGCAGUCAAUGGAAGAGAAGCAGAAUAAUCCAGCUGUAUGUGGGUAAUGAUGGAGUGGCCCGAUCAGCUAAAUUACGAACGAGCACCGGAAUAUAUAGAAGACCAAUAGCCAAACUAACUUGAUGUUGACACAAGAUGUGGUGAAUCCUCCCCCACUGGGUUAGUUCACGUGGGUGGGGAAGUUGCUGACGGCAACCCUGCUGAUGAUGACAGCCCUGCUACUGCCAAUUUGUGACUCAAAAACUAAAUCAAGAACGAACGACAUGUUGAGGAAAAACCAUGGUGCAAAAUUUCCAAGCCGUUAUUGUAUUGUAUUUUUUUUCAUUUAUGUGUAUACUUGUUAACAUUUUUACAUAUAAAAGAUCCAUCAGGAGCAUAUACUUUCCUUUCAUUUGUAUCACUUUGAA